rnacentral:lncRNA from 1 species
CAAGCAUUGCUACAUUAAAGAAAAUGCAUAUAUGCAUCCAUUUGUAUGUUGCUGUGUUUUACAGAGUCUUCUGCAGCAGACAGAGUCAGAGCAUCCAGACUAUUACCUGUUACUGGUGUCUGUGCAACAACUCCGAUCUUUCAGGACCCAGUACAGCCAUCUGCUACAGCACAACCAGGAGCUCACCCUCAGUCAUGCCCUGCGAGAACACACACACAACCUGUGCACACACCAGCAGGAGCGGCCCUCACACACCCGAAAAGAGCUUAGCAGGUCUACAGUGAGACAGCUGUAUAGUCGACUAUGAGAAAAAUUACAGCAACACCAGCACACAAAAUGAUCCCUCUCGAUGUAACAAACGCUACCCUGACUAUGAAACGGCACCCUAUCACUGAAAUCCCACCCAGAAAUCCCAUCCCCUGUCUCCUUCCUGUCUGACUCUGACUCUCGCCACAAAGCCAUCUCAGUUC